CAACAACGGAUCUCUUGGUUCUGGCAUCGAUGAAGAACGCAGCGAAAUGCGAUAAGUAAUGUGAAUUGCAGAAUUCAGUGAAUCAUCGAAUCUUUGAACGCACAUUGCGCCCCUCGGUAUUCCGGGGGGCAUGCCUGUUCGAGCGUCAUUGCACCCCU
rnacentral:rRNA from 9 species